rnacentral:rRNA from 1 species
UGGGGAAUUUUGCGCAAUGGGGGAAACCCUGACGCAGCAACGCCGCGUGGAGGAUGAAGUCCCUUGGGACGUAAACUCCUUUCGACCGGGACGGGCUUCCGGGUGAACAGCCCGGGAGAAUGACGGUACCGAGAGAAGAAGCCCCGGCUAACUAC